rnacentral:rRNA from 1 species
UGUCGUCAGCUCGUGUCGUGAGAUGUUGGGUUAAGUCCCGCAACGAGCGCAACCCUUGUCCUUAGUUGCCAGCGGUUCGGCCGGGCACUCUAGGGAGACUGCCGGUGACAAACCGGAGGAAGGUGGGGAUGACGUCAAGUCCUCAUGGCCUUUAUGUCCAGGGCUACACACGUGCUACAAUGGCGCGUACAGAGGGAAGCCAAGCCGCGAGGUGGAGCAGACCCCAGAAAGCGCGUCGUAGUUCGGAUCGGAGUCUGCAACUCGACUCCGUGAAGUCGGAAUCGCUAGUAAUCGCGAAUCAGCAAUGUCGCGGUGAAUACGCUCCCGGGCCUUGUACACACCGCCCGUCACACCAUGGGAGUUGGCUGCACCAGAAGCCGGUAGUCUAACCGCAAGGAGGACGCCGUCCACGGUGUGGUCAAUGACUGGGGUGAAGUCGUAACAAGGUAACCAAGGGCGA